ACGUAGGGUGCGAGCGUUAAUCGGAAUUACUGGGCGUAAAGCGUGCGCAGGCGGUUUUGUAAGACAGGCGUGAAAUCCCCGGGCUCAACCUGGGAACUGCGCUUGUGACUGCAAGGCUAGAGUAUGGCAGAGGGGGGUGGAAUUCCACGUGUAGCAGUGAAAUGCGUAGAGAUGUGGAGGAACACCAAUGGCGAAGGCAGCCCCCUGGGCCAAUACUGACGCUCAUGCACGAAAGCGUGGGUAGCAAACAGGAUUAGAUACCCUGGUAGUCCACGCCCUAAACGAUGUCAACUAGGUGUUGGGUGGGUAAAACCAUUUAGUACCGGAGCUAACGCGUGAAGUUGACCGCCUGGGGAGUACGGCCGCAAGGUUA
rnacentral:rRNA from 1 species